UAGUCAUAUGCUUGUCUCAAAGAUUAAGCCAUGCAUGUCUCAGUGUAAACUUUUAAACAGUGAAACUGCGAAUGGCUCAUUAAAACAGUUAUAGUUUAUUUGAUAAUCAACUUUACAUGGAUAACCGUGGGAAUUCUAGGGCUAAUACAUGCGUACCCCGCAAGGGAUGUGUUUAUUAGAUUUAAAACCAUCGCCAGGUUUACCUGGGACUGUUGGAAUAAUAAUAACCGAUCGAAUCGCAUGCUUUACGGCGGCGAUAAAUCAUUCGAGUUUCUGA
rnacentral:rRNA from 1 species